ACUUUUUGUAAAGUAUGUGCGCGCUGGGAUGUGGACACCAUCAUAUGUGAUGAACUAGUUUAUUUAUGUUUAGAGUUCCAUACUUUCUGCAUAUAGCAGUAUGUGAAGUGAACUUAAGUUUUCAUUUUUACAAGUUACUUUUGCAAAGUAUGUGUGCGCUUGGAUGUGGAUACCAUCAUGGUAGAUGAACCAACUUUUUUAUUUUUAUCUCCUAGUAAUUUGAAGUUCCUAUUGAUAUCUGUUAAUGUACCAAAGUACACUUUGCUAAAGCAUUAAACACACCUUUACACUUCACUUCAACCCAAUGUGAAGCACAAUAUGUGUAACUCCUUUUGCACUUGAUUUUUUAGGAUUAAACUCAGCUCCCCUUCGGGUGGAUUAAAAAUAAUAUAAUCUUUUUAAGGAUUAAACCAUCUAACGUUUUGGGUGAUUAAACUCUCUUGUUUUAAAAAAAAAAAAAACUUGUAAACCCCAACAGCAAACAAUGAAUGAAAAACACUAAUAUUUUUUAGCAACAGCAUACUCCAUUGUUGAUUGGGAACAUGUUAUCUGAGGGAGAUAAGGUAUCAUCGUCAGUUUCUUCAUCUUCUAUUGUUAAUCAUACUUUGAGAAUCAACCCAAUUUGCAAUUGUGGGUCACCUGCUUCACUUAGAACAUCGAACACGCCAAGAAAUCCGGGCCGAUCAUUCUUUGGGUGUUCAAAAUACAAUACCAAGGGAUUACCACAUUGCAACUUUUUCAUAUGGGCAGAUAGUGGUAAGGAAAUGGAGAAUGACCUUAUGAAAGUAUUCAUUGAGAUUUUGAUGAAGAAGGAAGAGCUCCAGAAAACACAUGAAGAGUUGCAGAAAACACAUGAAGAGGUUCGCCAAUUAUUGCAACUUUUUUGAAGAAGAGAGGAAGAGGUGCGAACAAUGAUGGAAGAGGUUCGACAUUGUUCGGAAGAGGUUCGCCGUAGAGAUGGCGAAAUUGUCAAGCGGGAGGUGGAAGUCCGGCGUCAACGCACACAUAUUCGUAUAUGUGUGGCAGUUUCUAUUUUACUUUAUUUGUACUUUAUACGAUCGCUUUGAGUAUUAAUAGGCAUUUAGUUGUGUUUUGUAUAAAUUUGUUAGUGCAAGUUCAGAAGUUGGAACUUUUGGGACAACUCUUUUAUGUUGGUAUUUGUAAUUUUUGUGUGGAAA